CAUUCUGUGCAACCUACAGAUUUGCUGCUGCACUUCAUCUACAGGCUGAUGUUUUGCCUCACCUUGCACGGCUGUCCAAGGUGUUCCAAAAAACUGAUGUCAACUUUCUGCACAUCAAAGAACAGGUUCCUGUCACAAUUGCAGUUUUGAGGGGUAUCAUAGAGGCAGGUGGGACAUACCCUGGCUCAUUUCUGUCCAAGCUUCAUGAGGACCUAGACAACCCAGCUGCACUCAGGUCCUUCAGAAUUGUGGAAGAGGAGGAGAGAAGCAGGAAAGGCAGCGAGGCCCAAGAAAGGCCAAGGGAGGAACUGUGGAUCAGAUUCCGCAAACAGGUCCUUGAACCAUACAUCACCAGCCUCAUCAAAAAUCUGGAGAACAGAUUUGAGAAUCUCCACAUCCUUGGAGCAUUCAGUGUCCUGCGGCCACAGGAACCCCAGUUGGAUGAUGCUGCAAACAUUGCUCAUCUGCAGACCCUCAUCAAGAAAUUCCUUCCUGGACAGGAUGAAGCCACAGUGGUCCAAGAGUGGAUGUCAUUCAAGGAGCAUGUGUCUUCAGGAGCAUUUAAGGACAAAAGCCAAGGAGCAAUCCUGGAACUGCUGGCCAGUGAGUACGAUGAAUGGGGUGACGUCUAUCCCUGCCUGUCCCAACUUGCUGCUGCAGCCCUCAUCAUCCCAGUGGCAAGUGUAAAUUGUGAGAGAGAUUUCUCAGCAAUGAACAGGAUCAAAACUGAACUGAGGAACAGGCUGUAAGGGGAGCAUCUUGCUGCAUGCAUGCGCAUCAGCAUAAAUGGACCUGACCCCCAAUCCUUUCCAUACAGAAAGGCAUUGGAGAUCUUUUUUUCAAAACAGAGAAAAAUACACUGC